GACGAACGCUGGCGGCGUGCUUAACACAUGCAAGUCGAACGGUAAGGCCCUUCGGGGUACACGAGUGGCGAACGGGUGAGUAACACGUGGGUGAUCUGCCCUGCACUUCGGGAUAAGCCUGGGAAACUGGGUCUAAUACCGGAUAGGACCACUGCCUGCAUGGGUGGUGGUGGAAAGCUUUUGCGCUGUGGGAUGGGCCCGCGGCCUAUCAGCUUGUUGGUGGGGUGAUGGCCUACCAAGGCGACGACGGGUAGCCGGCCUGAGAGGGUGACCGGCCACACUGGGACUGAGAUACGGCCCAGACUCCUACGGGAGGCAGCAGUGGGGAAUAUUGCACAAUGGGCGCAAGACUGAUGCAGCGACGCCGCGUGAGGGAUGACGGCCUUCGGGUUGUAAACCUCUUUCAGCACCGACGAGGCGCAAGUGACGGUAGGUGCAGAAGAAGGACCGGCCAACUACGUGCCAGCCGCCGCAGUAA
rnacentral:rRNA from 1 species